CAAAGAUUUAUCGCUCUGAGAUGGACUCGCGUCUGAUUAGCUAGUUGGCGGGGUAACGGCCCACCAAGGCGACGAUCAGUAGCCGGACUGAGAGGUUGGCCGGCCACAUUGGGGCUGAGACACGGCCCAGACUCCUACGGGAGGCAGCAGUGGGGAAUAUUGGGCAAUGGGCGCAAGCCUGACCCAGCAACGCCGCGUGAAGGAAGGAGGCUUUCGGGUUGUAAACUUCUUUUCUCAGGGACGAAGCAAGUGACGGUACCUGAGGAAUAAGCCACGGCUAACUACGUGCCAGCAGCCGCGGUAAUACGUAGGUGGCAAGCGUUAUCCGGAUUUACUGGGUGUAAAGGGCGUGUAGGCGGGACUGCAAGUCAGAUGUGAAAACCACGGGCUCAACCUGUGGCCUGCAUUUGAAACUGUAGUUCUUGAGUACUGGAGAGGCAGACGGAAUUCCUAGUGUAGCGGUGAAAUGCGUAGAUAUUAGGAGGAACACCAGUGGCGAAGGCGGUCUGCUGGACAGCAACUGACGCUGAGGCGCGAAAGCGUGGGGAGCAAACAGGAUUAGAUACCCUGGUAGUCCACGCUGUAAACGAUGAAUACUAGGUGUGGGGGGACUGACCCCCUCC
rnacentral:rRNA from 1 species